GAUGAAGAACGUUGCGAAAUGCGAUAAGUAAUGUGAAUUGCAGAAUUCAGUGAAUCAUCGAAUCUUUGAACGCACCUUGCGCUCCUUGGUAUUCCUUGGAGCAUGCCUGUUUGAGUAUCAUGAAAUCUUCAAAGUCAAACCUUUUGUUAAUUCAAUUGGUUCUGCUUUGGUAUUGGAGGAUUAUUGCAGCUUCACACCUGCUCCUCUUUGUGCAUUAGCUGGAUCUCAGUGUUAUGCUUGGUUCCACUCAGCGUGAUAAGUUAUCUAUCGCUGAGGACACCCUGUUAAAAAGGGGUGGCCAAGGUAAAUGCAGAUGAACCGCUUCUAAUAGUCCAUUGACUUGGACAAUAUCUAAUUUAUGAUCUGAUCUCAAAUCAGGUAGGACUACCCGCUGAACUUAAGCAUAUCAAUAAGCGGAGGA
rnacentral:misc_RNA from 1 species